CAUUCUUUCUUCUAUCCUUUUAGGGAGAGAGAGAGAGAGAGAGAGAGAGAGAGAGAGAGAGAGAGAGAGAGAGCUGUGAUCUCCUCCGGCAACUUCCGGAAAACUUCCGGUGCUGAACCUUGUAGUCGUAGUUGCAAGUUUUCUUCGCCUCAUCUUAUCACUCUUCCAAACUCUAGGAGGUUUUGGAGCUUGGAUUUCAGAUGGUUUCUCCUUUUGCCUCUCUUCACUUCUCUCUUUUCCAUCCAUCGAACCCAAUAUCUAUUGACGGAGAAGACGAAAGUGUUAAAUGGCCUGUGAAAUUGCACUGAUGCCCUUGAGAGAUAACUUGUGAGAUGAUUUAAUUGGCCAUCAUUUC